rnacentral:rRNA from 1 species
UACGAAGGGGGCUAGCGUUGUUCGGAUUUACUGGGCGUAAAGCGCACGUAGGCGGAUCGUUAAGUCGGGGGUGAAAUCCUGGAGCUCAACUCCAGAACUGCCUUCGAUACUGGCGAUCUUGAGUCCGGAAGAGGUGGGUGGAAUUCCUAGUGUAGAGGUGAAAUUCGUAGAUAUCCGGAGGAACACCGGUGGCGAAGGCGGCUUCCUGGACCGACACUGACGCUGAGGCGCGAAAGCUAGGGGAGCAAACGGG